rnacentral:tRNA from 2 species
GCGGGAGUAGCUCAGCGGUAGAGCAUCACCUUGCCAAGGUGGGGGUCGCGGGUUCAAAUCCCGUCUCCCGCU